rnacentral:rRNA from 1 species
GACGAACGCUGGCGGCGUGCUUAACACAUGCAAGUCGAACGGAAAGGCCCUGCUUUUGUGGGGUGCUCGAGUGGCGAACGGGUGAGUAACACGUGAGUAACCUGCCCUUGACUUUGGGAUAACUUCAGGAAACUGGGGCUAAUACCGGAUAGGAGCUCCUGCUGCAUGGUGGGGGUUGGAAAGUUUCGGCGGUUGGGGAUGGACUCGCGGCUUAUCAGCUUGUUGGUGGGGUAGUGGCUUACCAAGGCUGUGACGGGUAGCCGGCCUGAGAGGGUGACCGGCCACAUUGGGACUGAGGUACGGCCCAGACUCCUACGGGAGGCAGCAGUGGGGAAUAUUGCACAAUGGGAGGAAGCCUGAUGCAGCAACGCCGCGUGCGGGAUGACGGCCUUCGGGUUGUAAACCGCUUUCGCCUGUGACGAAGCGUGAGUGACGGUAAUGGGUAAAGAAGCACCGGCUAACUACGUG